UUUCACUUUGCAGCUCUGGAGGUGUCGGGAAAAUCCUGGGAGGGGGAGCAGGAAAACUGGGCAGGAUUUGCUCCUCAAUUCUUGCAAGUUUUAUUUUUAUUUUUAAUUUCUUUUUUUUUUCUUUUAUUUUUCUUUUUUUUCCUAUAUUUUUCCCUUUUUUCUUUUUUUUUUUUUUCUCAUUUUUUCUUUUAUUCCAAUUUUUCCCUUCAUUUUUAAAUCUAUUUCUCCAUUUUUCUUUUACUUUUUCCAUUUUUUUUCUUUUCCCCUUUUAAUUUUUUUUUCUUAUUUUCUUUUCCAGUUUUUGUCUUCAAAUUUUCAUCAGUUUUUCUUUUUAUUCUUUGUUUUUUCUUGAUUUUUUUUCUGGGAAUUUUUCCUUUUUCUUUUGUUGUUUUUUUCUUUCCUUUUCUCUAUUUUACCUUACCUAUCUAUUUUUAUUUUCCCUUUUUCUUUAUUUUUUCAAUUUUUCUUCUUUUUUUUCUGUUUUUCUUCAUUUUACCCCAUUUUUCUUCGUUUUUUCCCAUUUUUCUUUUUUUUCCCAUUUUUCUUCAUUUUUCCCAUUUUUCUUUUUUUUUCUCCCAUUUUUCUUCCUUCCUUUCCACUUCAUUUUUUCCCCAUUUUAAUUUUUUCCAUUUUUCUUCCAUCCCCCCAUUUUUCUUAUUUAUUUUUCCAUUUAAAAUUUCCCCAUUUCUCACCAUUUAUUUAAAUUUUUUCCACUUCCCCUUCAUUUUUUCCCCUUUUCUCUUCACCAUUUCCCCCCUUUUUAAUUUUUUUUCUUCCUCACCAUUUCCCUUUUAUUUUUUUUUUUAAUUCCCCCCAUUUUUCCUCCUCCCCUCCCAUUUUAAUUCCCUUUUUCCCCCUCCUGGCUCAUACAGGGUAUCAGACAUGAAUGUGCCUUCAUUGCUCUGCCCCCGUGCAGAACCCCCAAAAAAACCCCAAAAUGAGCAGAAAUCACCCCAAAAAAAAACCCCAAAAUGAACAAAAAUCCAAAUUUGCAGAACCCAGCAGUCCCAGCCUCACCUUUUUCUUUUGUGUUCAGCUCGGGGGCGGCGAUUCCCAAAGGUGGAACAAAAAUCCAACUAAAGUCAAGGAAAAAAACAAAAUUAAAAAUUUUUAAAAAUUACUAAAAAAGGAAAAAAAAAUCCAAAAAAACAAAAAGCCGUUCCUGGGCGGGAGGAGCCGAGCGGCGCCGGGGCCGCUGCUGGUGGCCAGGGGCCAGUGCUGGUGGCCACUGACCAGUGCUGGUUCUGAUCCUGGUGGCCACUGACCAGUUCUGGUGGCCACUGACCAGUGCUGGUUCUGAUCCUGUUGGCCACUGACCAGUGCUGGUGGCCAGUUCUGAUUCUGGUUCUGGUGGCCAGUUCCAGUGGCCAGUUCUGAUUCUGGUAGCCAAUAGCCAGUUCUGGUGGUCAGUGGCUGGUUCUGAUUCUCAGUUCUAGUGGCCACUGACCAGUUCUGAUUCUGAUCCUGUUGGCCACUGACCAGUGCUGGUGGCCAGUUCUGAUUCUGGUUCUGGUGGCCAGUUCCAGUGGCCAGUUCUGAUUCUGGUAGCCAAUAGCCAGUUCUGGUGGUCAGUGGCUGGUUCUGAUUCUGGUGACCAGUGUCAAGUUCUGGUGCCCAGUGACCACUUCUGGUUCUGGUGGCCAGUUCUCAUUCUGGUUCUGGUGGCCAUUUCUGGUUCUGGUGGCCAGUGGCCAGUAUUGGUUCUGGUGACCAGUUCUGAUUCUGAUUCUGGUGGCCAGUUCUGGUUCUGGUGGGGGGGGGGGGGGGGGGGGGGGGGGGGGGGGGGGGGGGGGGGGGGGGGGGGGGGGGGGGGGGGGGGGG
rnacentral:lncRNA from 12 species